CCUACGGGAGGCAGCAGUGGGGAAUAUUGCACAAUGGGCGAAAGCCUGAUGCAGCGACGCCGCGUGAGGGAUGACGGCCUUCGGGUUGUAAACCUCUUUCAGCAGGGAAGAAGCGAAAGUGACGGUACCUGCAGAAGAAGCGCCGGCUAACUACGUGCCAGCAGCCGCGGUAAUACGUAGGGCGCAAGCGUUGUCCGGAAUUAUUGGGCGUAAAGAGCUCGUAGGCGGCUUGUUGCGUCGGUUGCGAAAGCCCGGGGCUUAACCCCGGGUCUGCAGUCGAUACGGGCAGGCUAGAGUGUGGUAGGGGAGAUCGGAAUUCCUGGUGUAGCGGUGAAAUGCGCAGAUAUCAGGAGGAACACCGGUGGCGAAGGCGGAUCUCUGGGCCAUUACUGACGCUGAGGAGCGAAAGCGUGGGGAGCGAACAGGAUUAGAUACCCUGGUAGUCCACGCCGUAAACGUUGGGAACUAGGUGUUGGCGACAUUCCACGUCGUCGGUGCCGCAGCUAACGCAUUAAGUUCCCCGCCUGGGGAGUACGGCCGCAAGGCUAAAACUUAACGAAAGUAUAGACGNGAGAGAGCGACGAGACACACGGAGGUAGAG
rnacentral:rRNA from 1 species